rnacentral:lncRNA from 1 species
CCAAUGAGUGGCGCAAGGCUUCUCCUUCGGUUUCUUUUCUUUCUUUUUCCUUUUUUUUAUUUUUAUUUUUUAUUUUAUUUUUCUGUUUUUAAUUCAGCCAAUGAGUGGCUGAAUUCUUUCAUCUAAUUGAAUAUUGGUUGAAGUUUUAGUUGUUUAAUGGGUUGUGAGACUUGAUCAAAUAUUAUUUAAUUUUGGGAAUUCAAUAUUCAUGCAAUUUUAUAUUUAAUUCUCAUAUUAUUUUGUUAUUGAAAUUUACGUUGAUUUUUUAUUAUAAAAUAAUUAUUUAUUAGUUUGAAUAAUUUAAGUCCGUAAUUGCUUGGGUUAUUCUUACAUGAGAACACUUGGGAUAAAACCCAGGGAAAUUGUUUGAUCUAGCGUUAUCUCCAUACGUUUGGGUAGUUAGGAUUAGAUCUCUCUAUUUCUUAAUGCAAUUGACAAUUGUUUUGAUGCCUAAGGUCCAAGGACGUUCCUUGACAAUUUGUUAAUUAGUAAUUAAUUAGAGGACGUUCCCUAAUUGGUUUAAUCAUAAGGAGAGAUAAUGGUGGUGAGAAGCGUCUUCCAUCCCCAUAACUAAUCUAUUGAAUCAACCCAAAAGAACAAAGUGUCUGUGAUCAAUCCCAAUGACUAAAGUGGAUCCAAUACUUCAACUAGAGUUUUCUUAUUAUUUAUUUCUCUUUUAUUUUAUUAUUCGCUUAUUUUAAUUACUUUUAGUAGUUUAUUAAUCAAAUCAAUCUCAAAACCCCCCAUUUUACUUUACUGCAAUUUAUUUUUAUUCCGCUUUCAGUUCAUCUCAUUUUUUGGUUUAUCUCAUUGUUUCAGUUUAUUUUAUUGGUUUUGUUGAGAAAAAUAAAUAAGUAAUCAAUUAUCUGUGGAUUCGAUCCUUCACCACUAUCUGCAGUUGUAAAUUAUUGAUAACCAAGAAGGUUAUUUUUGACCGGCUUCGACAACCGCGAGUCAAAAAUUGGCGCCGUUGUCCCCGUUAAUCUAACUUAUUUGUUUUUCUUUCAGGACAAAAAAAAAAAAGGGGGAGCACUCCAUCGCAGAUCUGAAUCAUGGAUGAGGUAAGUAGACCUGAUCUCUCUUUUCUGACAUCUUUUAUGAAAGAUUUGGCCAUAGAACUAGUUCAACAGGUUCAAGCACCCCAACCACCCAAGCCAUGUAUGAUCUGUGGAUAUGUGGGACACCUAACUUCCCGAUGUCCUACACUUUAUGAGGAUGACCAACCAAUGCAUACAUUUGGAGGAUUCAAUGACCAACCAGUUCAUGCAUAUGGAGGAUACUUUGAACAGCCAAGACAUGAUCCCGACCAUGACACAUACAAUCCAUAUUGGGGAGGCCAACUGAACUAUGGCUACGCUGAGGCUAAUGACUACCAGGACUAUCAAGGAUACCAAGCCCAACCAGCACCUCCAAGUUCAGACCCCGCCAUUAGUGAGUUGGCAAAGACUUUGCAAAUGAUGCAACAGCAGAUGGAUCAAAUGGCCACCUCAUUAAAUGCGAUCAUGUUAAGAAGAGAGGAAUAGCUUCAAGAUGUAUGGGAUGAUGAUGAAAGUUGGCGAGUACAAGAACAAGCUGCUGAAGAGGCACAACCAGAAUACUGUUUGUCCAAACAAACUAGUCAAACAGAACCUGUUGUUGAUUUAGAUAUCAUUGAUUAUUUGAGCAAAGAUAUUUUUUAUACAAAUCAAGAUGAUAUACUAAAUAAUGAUUCUUGCAGGGAAGAAAGCCAAAAAGAGUCAGAACUGAAAGAAACUAACUGUUACAUCUAACAGGUGGACUGCGAACACGCACAGAAUAAAGGAGAGCCAAUCACACCUCUUCAGAUCAAUCUUGCGCAAGAAGGAGUACCUGAAAUCCUCUCAGGCGCGUCUUUUUAGCUUCCAACACAAAUCAGUCUUCCACCUCAGUUAGGUCCUAUGCAGAAGGAGGAAACUGAAACUCCUUUCAUCCUUCCAAUGCAAACAGUCCAUGCCCAGGAGGAACAAAUGGUAGUCCAAUGGCCCAAACCAAAAGAGCAUGCAGAUCAAUGCCUGCCCAAACCACCAAAUAAGGUAGAGUUUGUUUUGCCUGAAUUCAGUACUAAAUUGCAGCUAGCCAUAGAGAAACAUGAAUUGGAGUUCAAAGUUCUUCUCAAUCAUCUCAUAAAUGCAAACAUAAGGGCUAGAGGCACACCUCAUCUGAAAGAGGAGAAGCUAAUCAUGUUACUUCAUGAGUACAUGGAAAAAGUAGGAUGGGCUAUGACAAAAUCAAAAGGAGUGCUACACUUUCUACUCAAUGCAGUUGGGACUCUUUUCCCUUCCCCAAUUACUUGAGCCUUGAUCAAGUGGAUCACACCAUGCACACCACACCCAGGGGAGUACUCAGUUUCCUUUGUUCUUUUAUGUUUCUUAUACAUUGAGGACAAUGCAUGAUUUAAGUGUGGGGGUGCAUAUUUCUGAAUUUUUACUUUUUGAGUUUAUUUUUGCUUUGAUUUUUAGUUUGCUUGCAUUAGUUGAAAUUUUUUCAUUUUUGCUUUGAAUAACACACACAAAUAGCCACAGUUUUUUUUAUUAUUUAUUUUUGUUUCCGUUUUUUUUUUAGAUGCUUUACUCAUCAUAUAAACUAUGUUGGAUGAGUUUUUCUUUCCAUGACCCCAUUGAUGUUAUGACUCUUUAAACCUAUGUUGAAUCAAUUGCAGUGAGUUAUAUUCAUGUUUGAGAAUUGCCUUUUGAAUUGAAUCUUUGAGCUUGCUAAUGGUGAAAAAUAUAUUGAUGACCCUCAAUUGAUGAGAAAAAAUUAAAAGUUGUGUGAAUGAACUUAAUGUGACUUGAUUUAGCAAUUGGUGUUAAUUUGCCCAAAUCAUUGAGAGAAAAAAAUUCAGCAAAGGCAAAGACCUCAAAAGCACAAAUUAAAAAUUGUUCCAAUGGUCAAAAGACUAUGAACAGAGCUAGUAGCCACUUGGACAGGUGACCAACUGAAAAAUAUAAACCUUCAAUCAAAAAUAGGUUGGUGACCUUUCCAAGGUCUAAAGUGCAAAAGCCUGAAUAAAGUACUUCAAGGAAAGGGAAAGUCACACCGAAAGCUAGAAAAAGUCUUAACAAAUAAUGUGCAUGUAUGGUCUCUCUUGAGGAAAACAGAUCCUAGCCAUGGUGAGUAAAAGGAAACAAGGAAAGAAGGUGAGUAAUCUUCAUGCAUAUAUUCUUCACUGCAAUGAUUCAAAAUAGGGGUCUUGAGUAAGAGGUUAAGUGGAAACAAGGAUCUAGAGAAAGAAAGCUUAUUUGACUAUGUUUAUUUGCUUGAGGACAAGCAAAAUGCUAAGUGUGGGGGUAUUUGAUAGAGCAUAAUUUAGUCCAUUUUCUAUGAAUAUUAUUAAUGAAUAUUUACAUGAUUUCUGUUUAAUUUAUUGCUUUUAAUAUUAUUUUACAGAAAAUAGUAUAAAAUGACAAUUUGGAGAAAAUUCCCCUAAAACUGUCUUAUUUGGAGUAAAAGAGAGCAAGUCUGUCAAGCCGGAUUCAAGUCAAAAUAUUUUGGAAAUUAAAUAUUCAAGCUCAUUCUCUCACGUGGAUCAAGUCCAUUCUUGCACAUGGGCCGGCGCAUCCUCCGCAUGGACCGUUCACGCACACGGGAAUUCACAGCCCGUGCACACCCACGCUUCACGCCAUUGGGCCCGCGUCAUCAACUCCAGCUCAUGGCCCUGACUCACGCCUCACCAUUCAAUUGCAAAUGGCCUGCACAACAAGGGCCCGCCAAAGCAAACUUGUGCCCGUGGACAAAGCACCUCAUCAACACGUGCAUAUGGGCCCGCCAUUGCAAACUCCCGCACAUCCGCGCAAUCCCGCACAAUGGGCAGCCCGUGGACCGAGCUCUUCACAUGGAUCCGCCUCAACCUGGCCAGCACUUCAUCAAUUCAUCCGCAUUUGGGCCCGCGUUCCAGCAGCUCUCUGCACGUGGCCCAUUGCCGCCACUCACGCACCGUCCACCAUGCACAUGGGAUCCGCACGAAGCUACUGCACCACAAUCAAUUCACGCGGGCCAAAGCUCUCUGCGCGUGGACCAUUCCUUCACGUGGACCACCAGCGCCACCUCGCCAUUCCUUCACGUGGACACUCGCGCACUCGAUCCACUCCCAGGCCAGCAAUCUUCCAAAAUAGUGCGCCCCUCUGCACUUAUAAAUAGAGCCUUCAGUAAAUUAAAUACACAAUUCAGAAGGGAAUUUGGCAGUUCCACAGCCCGGCGCAAGGCUUCUCCUUCGGUUUCUUUUCUUUCUUUUUCCUUUUUUUUAUUUUAAUUUUUUAUUUUAUUUUUCUGUUUUUAAUUCAGCCAAUGAGUGGCUGAUUUCUUUCAUCUAGUUAAAUAUUGAUUAAAGUUUUAGUUGUUUAAUGAGUUGUGAGACUUGAUCAAAUAUUGUUUAAUUUUGGGAAUUCAAUAUUCAUGCAAUUUUAUAUUUAAUUCUCAUAUUAUUUUAUUAUUGAAAUCUACGUUGAUUUUUUAUUACAAAAUAAUUAUUUAUUAGUUUGAAUAAUUUAAGUCCGUAAUUGCUUGAGUUAUUCUUACAUUAGAACACUUGGGAUAAAACCCAAGGAAAUUGUUUGAUCUAGCGUUAUCUCCAUACGUUUGGGUAGCUAGAAUUGGAUCUCUUUAUUUCUUAAUGCAAUUGACAAUUGUUUUGAUACCUAAGGCCCAAGGACAUUCCUUGGCAAUUUGUUAAUUAGUAAUUAAUUAGAGGAUGUUCCCUAAUUGGUUUAAUCAUAAGGAGAGAUAAUGGUGGUGAGAAGCGUCUUCCAUCCCCAUAACUAAUAUAUUGAAUCAACCUAAAAGAACAAAGUGUCUGUGAUCAAUCCCAAUGACUAAAGUGGAUCCAAUACUUCAACUAGAGUUUUCUUAUUAUAUAUUUCUCUUUUAUUUUAUUAUUCGCUUAUUUUAAUUGCUUUUAGUAGUUUAUUAAUCAAAUCAAUCUCAAAACCCCUCAUUUUACUUUACUACAAUUUAUUUUUAUUCCUCUUUCAGUUUAUCUCAUUUUUUGGUUUAUCUCAUUGUUUCAAUUUAUUUUAUUGGUCUUGUUGAGAAAAAUAAAUAAGUAAUCAAUUCUCUGUGGAUUCGAUCCUUCACCACUAUCUGCAGUUGUAAAUUGUUGAUAACCAAGAAGGUUAUUUUUGACCGGCUUCGACAACCGCGAGUCAUGAGACAUUCAAACUCUCCAUAGUUUCAGUCAACCUCUCAAGAGUCUUACAAAUCCUUGUAAACUCACCACCAACUGACUUUUUGAAGAGCUUAUAAUCACUAGCCAUGUCCCAUUCAUUUUCAUCAUCACUAUCCACUAUAUUUUUAUAUUUACUCAUCCGGCCUUAUAUCAAUAAAGAACAAAGAGAACUAGCAAAUAUUGAGUUAGAAAAGAAAGCACUCAAAUGUUUGUACUCUUACCACUCUUUUGUUGAUCCUUCAAUUGCACUUCAGAAACUAAGGUCAACCAACUAACUAUAAGGUGCGUUUAAUGAAAACAAAGAAGAAAACCUAAAGAAAGAAGGAAGCACACAAGACUAGAAAGAAGACGCUGACAAUUUAGAAAGUAACACAAGAACUAGGUUUUGUGCUACUUGAAAAAUAUCACCUAAGAGUAUAGAUGCAAGCAAACAAUACUCCAGCAAUGUCAAGGAAGUAAAAGCAAGCUUAAACCAAAAAGGAAACUUAGAAUUCAAAUAAAAACGAACCUGGACAAAAGUUUGAAUUUAAUUCACUUCAAAGUAAAUUAAAUAUGGAUCUAUUUAAAUCUACCCAAAAAGACAAGUAUCAAGACCCACAAAUAGAAAUAGAAAAGAAAAAAAAAAUUCAAUAGGCAUAUUUCUUUUGUCUCCUAAUUUGGAAUCAACCCAAUUCAAAAUUUAAAAUUCAAAAUUGAUUCCCAUAAACUACAGCAAUCAAUUGAGAUAGGUAAGGUAAUAUAGACGUAAAAGAGAGCAUAUCACAAUUUCUGCCAUAUCAAGAUAAGUAAGGCAAAGGCGAUUUUUUUAAUUAUUUUUUAUUUUUUUAAUGGAUUUCUAUUUUUUUGUGAUGAUUAAUAAUCAAGAAGAUGCAGCCAUGGACACAAAAGCUUUCACCGAAAUCAAUAACGAAGAAAAGAAAACUAAAAAAAAAAACUCUAGAUCUGUAACGAUCCGGAAACCGGACCGCUACCGGCACUAGGAUCCAUAUCGGCUUAAUGCCGCUGGGACCCGUAGCAAGCCUCCUAUACCUGCUAUCAUCCCAUACAUGAUCAUACAUUUUCAUAAGAAUUUAAAAACCUUUCAUGUUCCAAGCCUGACCUGUGCAUGUACUAAAAUCAUAAACAUAAAAUCCCAAACUAGAGCCCUCAUCAAAUGCUCUAGUGGGUUAUCAUAACAUAAAUCAAGCUUGGACUAAUCAUUUUUUAUCAUAAAAACAUUUCAUUAAAAAGAUCAUGUACUAAAAGGGAUUAACAUUACUAUUCGAGCCAAGCAAAAUACUAAACCAUAAAACAUUCUCUAUACUACAUUACAUAAAAUCAUUUUACAAUACAUGUCCACUCUAACUAUUACACUUAACAUAACUUCAACCUUGAAGACUCCCCGGUUUAUCCUGAACCUGCAAGCCUGGGGGUUAAGGGAAAGGGGUGAGCUACUAGAGCCCAGUGAGUAAAAUAGAAUAACAUUAUAUAUAAAAACAUAUGCUUUCAUGAAAUGCAUCACAUCACAAACAUUUCACAUCAAGGAUGGACUUGUCACCAAUAGCCCUAUACAUAAUCCAAUCAUGCCAGGGGUGUAGUGCAGGCCACACCUGGUCUUUCUCUUACACAUAACAUAUCACACAUGUAACAGCCCGGAAACCAAACUGCUACCGGCACUAGGAUCCAGAUCGGCUUAAGGCCGCCUAGACCCGUAGUAAGCCUACUGUGAACUCUGUGUAUCUGUGAAAUCCCAUACAUGAUCAUACAUUUUCUGUAAACAUGUAAAACUUUUCUUUUUCUACGGCUUAACCUGUGCAUACUCUAUCUCUCUAAUGUAAAAACUUGCCAGAGCUCUCAUCUUAGCUCAAGGCAGCUCUAACUCAUACUAUGUUAAGCCGGGCUUUUCAUACAUAAACAUAAAUCAUUUACAUAAGAUCAUGUACAAACUUAAAAGGGAUACAAUUCUUGUCAAUCAAGCACCAUCUAUACACUGUACAUUUCCGUAUCUCUUACAUUUACAUGUCCAUACUAUCUAUUACAUACAUCUCUUUACGUUCUUCCUGUACUCUUCUUACAUCUCUCUGUACUCUGAACCUGCACAACUGGGGAUAGGGGAGAGGGGUGAGCUUCUAUAGCCCAGUGAGCAGGAGCUAUAUAAAACAGUUUAUAAAACAGAUGUCUUUAUGCCAUGCAGCACAUCACAACCAUAUACAUCAAGGAAGAAGUUGUCACCUAUAGCCCUCCACAUAACUGACUCACAUAUAGUACUAGCACAGUGCCUGGGGCGAUUAGGCCUCCUCCAGGACUUACUUUUCUGAAAAGGUUUUGUCAGGGCGAUUAGGCCUUCUCUGACUGUUUUCUGAAAACGUUUUACCAGGGCGAUGAGGCCUCCUGGCUAUCUAACUUUACUAACAGGGGCGGUUAGGCCUCCCUGCUCACACUUAUCAUGCUUGACUCUUUACUUAAUUCAUAUCAUGUCAUAGCAUACCAAACUGAGGGCUAAAGGAUCAUCCAACAUUCAUCCGCAUACUCAUCACAUUAUGCAAUGCAACACCUUCGUGAAUACUAAUGCACCAACCUAAUAUCUCAUGCUCAUCCAUUAUUAUCUUUUAUUUUAACCAUCCUAACAUUAUGGCAAUUAUGAUGCAUGAAUCAUGCUAAAACAUUCUUGAAUUUAAAAUAUGCAUAGUUAGUCCCACUCACCUCUGGCUGACUGUAAACUGACUUUGCAGGUUCCGGAGCAGUGCUCACUGCUGAUCUCCCUGGUUUCUCUGGUCCGUUCCUACACAAGUGGACUCAGAUGAGGGACCAAACUCACUCCAUAACAGUUCUAAGAACUCCCCCAAAAGCCCUCUAACUAUCACAUAACACAUGCAAAAGUCAACUGGACAGGGCACUUUCGGCGGCAGGUUCGGCGGCCGAAACUCCCUUCCAGAAACGAAACUCACCUACUUUCGGCGGCCGAACCUCUACUUUCGGCGGCCGAAAGUCCUAUACCUACACCUUCGGGUGUACCUUCGGCGCCCGAACGUCUCGUCCAGAGACGAAACUCAACCUUCGGCGGCACUUUCGGCGGCCGAAUGUGCAUGACAGAUCCGAAAGUCCAGCUUUCGGAAGCAGCCUUCGGCAGCCGAAGCCACCUCCUCAAGGCUUUCGGCGGCCGAACCUCCCUUCGGCGGCCGAACCUGGUUUCGCCCGAAGGGCAGAAACCUGCUCUGCUUCAUGCACACCUCCUCCUAUCUCUCUCCCAACAUGCACACAGAACUCCUCAACAUGCCUAUACACUUGUACAUGCUCAAAAGGGUCUAAAACUAGCCUAUAACCCCAACAAACACAACAUCUAACACAUAAACAUGCUUGAACAUCAAAAACUCUAAAAAACUCCUAGAACCCUACUCCUGCGUACUACCCCAUAAUCUUCCAUAAAACCUUUAAAAAAAACAUAGUAAAAGCUUCGGAUCUAUCCCUUACCUCUUGGAACACUUGAGGUUGGAAGCCUCUAACGUGGAGUUAUGGCAAAAUCCUCACUCAAAGCUCCAAACUUCAAACUUUGCUCCUUUUUGCUUAAAACUUCACAAAUCCAUAAAAACUCAUCAAAACCUUGGAAGAUUUGAAAACACACAAAACUGAGCUAAGGAAGAGCAUCUCACCUAGGUCUGGAGAAAUGGGAAGCAAACUUACCCAUUUGACUGACCUAGGGCCCUUUUAAAGAUGGGUGGCCAGUCCACCUUCGGCGGCCUAACGUGAGAUCCGAAAGCCAUGCAAGUUCGGCGGCCGAACCUUUGCAUUUCUUCCUUAGUGCUUUUCUUUCCAAAACUCACUUCUCUAACCCUUGAAAACCUUAAAACUCUGUGAACACAUACUUAAACAUUCUUUAAAACAUAUGUAUGACCCUUCUAGAGGGUUCCGACACCCGAGAUUCCAUCAGACUACAGGAAUUCCGAUGCCGGACUCUAGCCGGGUAUUACAACACAUAUCUAAUCGUGCCGGGGGCAUAGUGCAGGCCACACCCGGACUUUCUCUUACAUUAUGCCAGGGGCGUAGUGCAGGCCACACCUGGACUUCCAUAUCAUAUCAUAUCAUGUCUCAUCAUAUUGAGGACUAAUGGGUCAUCCAACAUCCAUCCACAUCAACAUCAAAUUAUGCAAUGCAACAUAUUCGUGAAAUUCUAAUGCGACAACCUAAAAUAUAUCAUGACAUUCGUGAUGCAUGAACAUGCUCAAAACUUAUUUGCUUGCAACAUAAAGAUUCAUUCUACUCACCUACCUCACUACUGGGGUCCUCGGUUCCUCGGGUCUGAACCUACACAGGUGGACUCAAAUGAGGGACCAAACAUACACUAACAUGACUCUAAACAACUUCCCAAAAACCCCCUAAAACACCUUAAAACAAUCAUAGAAAACAUGCAAAGGAAGGCUGAACAGGGCACUUUCGGCGGCAGGUUCGGCGGCCGAAAGUCCCUCCAAAACCGAAAGUCAUGCACCUUCGGCGGCACCUUCGGCGGCCGAAAGUGGCUUCCAGAUCCGAAACUCAUGCAUGUUCGGCGGCCGAAACUCCCCUCCAGAGCCGAAAGUCUAAACUUUCGGGGGCAGGGUUCGGCAGCCAGAACUGUCUCCCCAGGCAGGUUCGGCGGUCGAACAUUGCUUCGGCUGCCGAACCUGAGUUCUUCCAAAAUGGCAGAACUCAGCCUCAACAUGCACAUUUGCCUCCCAAACUCUCCAAACUCAUACACAACUCUCCCAAACAUGCAUAAACAUGUACACAAGCAUAUAAGGGUCCCAAACUAGCCUAAACCCCAACCACAUCACAUCUAGCAACACAAAUAACAUACAUUAACCAUAAAACUUACAUAAACCCUAACAUCAUGCAUAUACUCUAAUCAUGCAAUAAACCCUCUUAAAACCCCUCAAAACUUUCCUAAAACAUAAAAGAAGAGUAGGAUUCACUCUUACCUCUUGAAGAUCGAGAGGAGAGACGAUCGAAACUUGGAGAUUAAGAGGAUUUGAGCUCCGGGGUCUCCAAGCUCCAAAACUUGAUCUUUAGCUCAAAAACUUCAAAUACCAAGUAAAAACUUGUUAAAACUUGAAAGAUUUGAAGAAAAUCAUCAAAACUAACCAUGGGAGGGCAUUGACUCACCUUUGUCCAAAAAUGGAGGAGAAAACUCACCCAUUUUCGGACAUGGGGCCUUUUAUAGGUGGCUGGCCAGACCACCUUCGGAAGCCAAAGGUGACUCCAAAACUCCACCAAGUUUGGCGGCCGAAUAUGAGGUUCGGCGGCUAAACCUGGAUUUUCCUCCAUGGUGUUUUUCUUUCAAAAAACUCAAUUUCUUUCUUACUUAAAACCUUAGAACACUUGAAAACAUUUUAGAAAAAUACACUUUACCCUUCUAGAGGAUUCCGACAUUCGAGAUUCCGCCGGACGGUAGGAAUUCUGAUGCCGGAGUCUAGCCGGGUAUUACAAGAUCCUGAGAUAAAUAAGAAUUUACCUUACUUUGGCUCUGAUACCAACUGACGCGGAACCCUAUGGCACAAGCCUCAAACCCACAUGCACAAUUAGAUAUGGAAUCCAAGGAUUUGAUAAACCCACCUCCUAUGGCACCCCAAACUUAGAGAAGCUGAAACACUAAUGAUCGAAGGAUUUAGAUGAGAAUCUGACAAACGCCACAAUGAAUAGUUGAUAAGUUAGCCAAGAUUCCUGGUGCAAUUGAUGAAAGCGAAUCCUCACUCUCACUCAAAGCAAUACACGCUAAAGGCAUGAAAAGAAUUCUGAAAUUUUGAUUAAAAGCUGCCUCUUACAAUUGUUUCUUAUCCUUAUAUAGUAAGGAGAAAAAACAAAUAAAACCCUAAGACACUCUUCUUAGGCCUGACUUAAACACAUAAGGCCUAAGCUCAAUCACACAUAAAAUAACACAUAAGUAUUAAAACAUAAGCCCAAAACAUGGCCCAACACUGUAAAACUUAAAAGAUAAAAUAUGGCCAAAAUACAAGCUCAAACAAAGCUAAAAUAAAACAAGUGUUUAAAUAAUAACAAUAUAGCAAGCCCACCAUGACAAAGCUGAAUCUUCACAAAAGCCCUUCUUGAUCUUCACUUUAGGCUUUCCUUUGUGUAGUUUUAGCCCAUAGGUUUGAUUAGCUCCCUAAACCUAUGAUUGCAAGUGUUGCACUAAAUCUGCCCCAUAUGAGUUGAAGCACGCCCCAAAUAUAUAUGGAUCAUAUGAAUAUGAUUUUGAACUCCUUUUAGAUCCAUUUGAAUAAAAUAAGUUUGCUCCACACCAUUGUUAGAAGUUUGCCCUAUUGGACUCGUAUCAAUGAGAUGUUGCUAGAUCAUACAAUUUUCUUAGUUUUUACACCAAGUGUUCUUAUGUUUGAAUAAUCUAAGCAAUUACGGACUUAAAAUUAUCCAAACUAACAAUAUAUUACCUUGCAAUCAAGAAUCAAGUGGCCAAUUUGAUCAAAACAACAAAGCAAUAAUGGAAUCAAGCAUGAAAUUGUAUGAAUAUUGAAUAAAUCAAAGACAAACUACUUAUGUUCAGAUCUCACAAUCCAUAAAACAACUUAAGUUUCAACCAAUCUUCAACUAGAAUAAAAGGUUUCAGCCACUCAUGGCUGAACCAAAAACCAAAAAUAAGAAAAGAAGAAAGGUAGAAGAGAGAAGAGGCAAGGUGAGUCUGGCGGUCUUGUGCAAUCCGAAGAGGUGAAGUGCAAGAAGUGUUUUUGGCUGGCCUUAUGUGCUUCUUAAAUAGGAUUAGAUGCUGCCCUAAGUCUUACUUGCUGCCCAAGAGGUGCUUGUUGCCCAAGUUGUGUCUAAAAAGGAAAUAAUCGCAUUGCAAGGUCUUCAGAAGGAAGGAGGCACGCGGAUGGCUCUUUAGAAGGAAGGAGGCGGACGGAUGGUUUGUGCAAAGGGAAAGAUAUGCUGUCCAAUCUUUCCUUUUUAGGUGGAGCCUUCGUUUGAAUUUCAAAUCUUGAAUGCUGAAUGCAAGAGAAGCAAGUGCAUCUUCUUGAAAUAUUGCUGCCUAAAUAGAAAGAUCUAUCUGCUGAGGUGUCUGCACAUCUUUAAACAAUGAAAGAAAGAUCUGUAAUUUGAAUUUCAAAUAAUCUGCUGACUACGCUUUCCUUAUAUGUUUUUGCUUCUGCACUUUCCUUAUCUGGCACUUUCCAUAUUUGGCAAUUUUUGGCAGUUUUAAGAGUAUUUUCACCAGAUUGUCUCUUUACACCUAUCUUCUGCAAAAUAAGAUCAAAACCACAAAAUUAGGCAGAAAAAGUGUAAAUGAACAUCAAUAAUAUCAUGAUAAAAUGGUCUAAAAUAUGCUCUAUCACAUAGGGGUGAACAUUCAGUCGGUUCGAUUCAAAAUCGAACCGAACCAAAUAAACCGAAAAUCGAAAUUUUAGUGUUUAUAAAAAUUGAACCGAACCGAUUUUGGUCAGAAACCGAAUCAAACUGAACCGGUCUGAUUCGGUUCGAUUCGGUUCGGUUUGAUCGGUUUCGAUUUUUAAUAAUUUUUUUAUUUUUUACACUUUAUUUUUAGUCUUUUAAAAUUUAAUUAAAAUAUUUUAAUCUUAAUAUAAUUUAAUUUCUCUAUAUUAUUGAAAAAAACAUAUUAUUAUCACUAAUCGGUUCGGUUCGAUUUUUUUUAUUUUUUCUGAUCAAAACCGAAUCGAACCGAAAUAACCGAAAUUUCUGAAAUUAAAAAUCGAACCGAACCGAACCGAAAUAUAUAAAAAAUCGAGCCAAAUUUUGAAUUUGAUUUGGUUCGGUCGAUUUUUUCGGUUAAAACCGAAUACUGCUCACCCCUACUAUCACAUAUGCAUAUUGGGCUGCGGCUCAAGCACUCGGCACUAAGCUGCGGCCUGGGUUGCAAGCUCAAGAGAAACCAAGAGCUAACAAGAAACAGAAAAAGGGCAAAGACAAGGGUCCUUUCAAGGAGAAAAAGAAAAAUAUUAUGAAGAUCUAAGUGUUGCAAGUUGUUCUUAUGUGAUGGGUUAACCCUGCUCCUACACAUGAUUCUUUUUGCUUCUCAAAUUCGUCGAAAUUUAAUUUCUCUUUUAGUGUUGAUCAAACUUGAUUUUAGUAUUAAUUUUCAUGAAUAGGGUGUGAAUUUAUUUUUUAGCAAUAGGUGUUUAUGGUUCUAGUUUUUUCUUGGAUAGUUUCAUAGUUAUGGAUAUUAUUAACACAUUCUCUAAUAUAUGCUUUUCCUUUUUUACAUUUUCUUUCAAAUUCGUCGAAAUUUAAUUUCUCUUUUAGUGUUGAUCAAACUUGAUUUUAGUAUUAAUUUUCAUGAAUAAGGUAUAAAUUUAUUUUUUAGGAACAUGUUUUUAUGGUUCUAGUUUUUUCCUGAAUAGUUUCAUAGUUAUGGAUAUUAUUAACACUUUUUCUAAUAUAUGUUUUUCCUUCUUUACAUUUCCUUAUGGGUCUUUGAAUAAUGUAAUUUUAUGGCACACUAGACUUAGUCACAUAGGUUAACAUCGCAUGCGAUGCUAAGCCAAAGAGGGCUUAUUAAGUAAUCUUAACAAAGUAUAAAUAUCAACAUGUAAACAUUACCUAAUAGGAAAAAUAUCUAGAAAAUCAUUUAGAAAAGGAGCAAGAGCUAACUAUUCAUUAUAAUUAAUUCAUUCUGAUACAUGUGAUGCAAUGGAUGUAAGGGCUAGAUAUAGGGGUUAUUAUUUUAAUGUUCACUGGCAAUUACACUUGAUAUACUUAUGUCUAUUUGAUAUCUCACAAGUCUGAGUCCUUAAGUUACUUUAUUAAAUUUUUAAAACUAGUUAAGAAUCAAUUAGAUAGCUUUAAAAAUAGAUUAGGGUAGAGAAUAUCUGUCAAAAUAAUUCAAUUGAUCGUGUGACGAAAAAGGAAUAGACCAUCAAUUAAUAAUUUUAGGUACACCACAACAAAAUAGUAUAGUAGAAAGGAGAAAUAAAAUUCUAUUAGAGAUGAUUAAAUCUAUAAUGGCACAAGCUAAUUUGUCCAUUAACUAUUAGAGUGACACAUUAUUAACGGACAUUUUUGUACUUAACCGAGUGCUCACAAAAUCAAUCUCUUCCACUCCAUAUGAAUUAUGGACUAAUUGCAAACCUAAUUUAGAUUUUUUUAAAACUAUAGGGAGUGUGUAGCGAUUGAUCAUGAACUUUCUCAUAAAUUUGAAAAGUUAAGUCUAAGGGGAAAGAGAUGUAUUUUUUUAAAAUACUCAGAGCAUUCAAAAGAAUAUGUGUUUUUGCGUAAGCAAGACAAUAGAAGCAUAACUGAAUUUGAUCACGUGAUGCCACAUUUUUAGAAAAUGGUUUUUCAAGACCGAGAGAGAUAAGACAAGACAAGACUUGUCUCUAUUUGAAAUCAUGAUCAGGAAGCUUCCACGGUAAAUAUAACAACAUAUAUAUUUCUGAGUGGGAGCAAUUUGGAUAUAGACAAAUAUAUUCAUUUGCAUUCACAAUUGUUGCCUAAACUAAUUCAUAUAGAACCUGAUCUGAGUAGGAGUAACAUAUCUAUUGAUGAGUCAAUAGAUCAAUCUCAACUACGUCAAAUGAGUUGUCCUAAAAUUCCUCAUCAUCAUUUUGAAAUUGAAGAAAAAAGUAUAUAUUAUUACUCCCAAUGAAGAUGAGCUGAUAAAUAUAAAAGGGACUUUUAAGUUUUUAAUUAAGGAAAGUAGAUUAAAGUAAUAGAAGAGGAAAUAAAGUCAAUGAAAUCAAAUAAUAUUUAGGAACUAAUAGAGUUAUGAUAAGGAUGUAAAUCAAUUGAGAAUAAGUGAAUUCUCAAAAUUAAACAUAAGACUAAUAGAAGUGUCGAUAAAUACAAAAAUUAUUUGGUAAUUAAGGGUUAUACACAUUAGUAAGAAAUUGUUUAUGAUGAAUUGGUUAAAAAUAAAAGAAUAAUAUAUAUUUAAUAUAGUUUUAAAACAAUCCUAUUAUUUCUCACUCUCACUUUUAUAUUAUAUAUAUACAUAAUAAAUACAAAUAUUAUAAAUAGCUAAUCCUGUUAAAUAUAAAUAAUAGUUUUGUCAACAAAUAAAAUUAAUCUAAAAAGAAUAACAAAAAGUAUAAAUAAUUGUUUGAAAGUAAUAUUGAAAAAUUAAAAAAAAAUUAUAUUUGUGUAUUUACAGACCAGUAAUAUAUAAAUUAUUUUAAACCAAUUAAAAUUAUUAUUUUAUUAAAUCUAGUUUCUAUAGAAUUUCAAUUUAAUAAAUACUUAAUAAUUUAAUUAAAAUAAAAUUAGUUUUAGUGGAUUAAAAUUAUUAAGUUCAUAGAUUAUUUCAGUUCCAUAAAUUUUCAACUGCACAAAUUAAAGAACUUCUACUUAUAGGACUUUUUAUAUAAAUAUUAAUUACAUUUUUAGUAGAAUUUUGAUUUUUAUUUUCCUAAAAAUGGUUGAAUAUAUAGAUAUAACUUGAAUAAGCUUUUCACCUAUAAAUAAAAGGUAUCACCUAUACCUCAAUAUCUUAAUGUGUGUGUAUAUAUACAUAUAUAUAUAAUUAAAAUUAUUAAUUUAAUAAAUCAAUUUUAUAUAUAAUUUUAACUCUAUAAAAUUAGUCUUUCAUUAUAAUAAUAUGAAAAUAUCAUGGGUAUUUCUGUAAAUUUAAGUGUUAUAUACUCCCUUAUGGUAUCAGAGCCAGGUCGCGAGUUCGAGUCUCGGGGGGAAGGGAUUUAAUAUGCUUCUCCUAAUGGGACGCCUAGUCUUUGACCGAGCCUGGGCCGUCUGGUCGGGUGAUCGGACUUUCCCAAAACUGGGGUACUAACGUGGAGACGUUAUCGUGCCCAGGGUUCCUGGGCUAUAUAGGAUUAAAGUAGCGCCUCUACUAACAGUUUAAACUUUUGGUACAAUGGUAUGCGUUCUUAUGGUAUCAGAGCCAUAGAUUUUUCGUGUAUGAGCAUGUUUACAUAAUAAAAAAUUCGUUUUCAAAAAUUUUGAAAAGGUAUAUUUUAGGUAUGCCAACUGAACCCAUUUUAGCCAAUUGUGUUAGGUGUCUUUAGGGUAUAACAGACAGUGGCCGCAACAUAAUUCAAAAUUUUAAGAAUGGAUCCUUUUUUGUAUAAAUCAGCAAGUACAGUAAAAUCAGAUGACUCUGAAUCUUCAGAAAUUAAAAGAGUAAUAAAUAAAAAUGAGUUAAUUUUGGAAGAUUUUGUAAAAGUCAUAGAUGAGCGGGAAAUACCUAAAGUAGAUAAGGAACAGAUUUAUAAAAUCCCAAAAUUUAAUGUUUUAAAACUGAUUAUAUAAUAAAAAACAGAGGAAAGAGAUUUUCAGUUAAGUAAACCUUUUGAAAGAAUAACUCUUUUAUCAGCUAAGACAUUAAAUCAUCACAAAAGUAAAAGGUAUAAGUAUAUUCAUAUAGGAUUAAUCCAGGUAGGAAUAAAGCCUUUAACUAGGGAAGGAUUAAAUAUGUUACGACCCCAAAAUGGACCAUCACCGGCGCUAGGUUUCAGGUCGGCUUAAGGCCGCCAGAACCCGUAGCAAGCCUGCUAUACUCUCUGUGUACCUGUAACACUCAUACAUGAUCAUACAUUUUCUGUGAAAAUAAAAACUCUUUUCUAAACCAAGGCUUAACCUGUGCAUGCACUAUCUCUGUACUCUGUACUCUGUACUCUGUACUCUAUACUCUGUACUCUGUACCCCUGACUAGAGCUUGCUCUAGAUGGAUUAAUUCAUACCUGGUAAGCCUGGUUUUUCACAUACAGCAAAACAUAUAUACAUAUACCGAUCAUGUACAACACAUACAUCACUAAGUCAAGCACAUGUCUAACUUUAUACACAACUAUUACAUCUUUGUAAUAUUACAUGUCCAUUCUAAGUUAUUACAAAUCUCUUUACUCUUUCUCUGAACUCCGCUGGACUGUCCCUGCAUACUGUACACUGAACCUGCAAAACUGGGGUUAAGGGAGUGGGAUGAGCUGUAUAGCCCAGUGAGUAGAACAGUAAAACAUCUCAGUAAAAUAUGAUCUCAUGGAAUGCACCAUAUCACAGACAAACCACAUCAAGAGUAAACCUGUCACCAUAUAGUCCCAGUAACUCUGUGCCAGGGCGUAGAAUCGAGCACCUGGUCUUCCUGUCAUAUAUGUAUAUGUCUAUAUAACACCUCUAUACUUACCAUUGCCAGGGCGUAGUCAAAGGCUCCUGGACUUUACUAUAUACCUGCCAGGGCGUAGUCAAAGGCUCCUGGACUUCUCUAUACCUGCCAGGGCAUAGUCAAAGGCUCCUGGACUUCCUGUCUGAGACUAGUGGAUCAUUCAGCAUUUACCCACAGCAUCAAAUAACGAUGCAAUGCAACAUAUUCGUGGAUACUAAUGCAAUCAACCUAUGGCAUAAUCAUGAUGCAUGAGAUAUGCUAAAACAUUCCAUUGUGCAAGUAAAAGAGUUAAGUUUAGUUCCACUCACCUCUGGACUGACUCUGCAGGCUCUGAACACUCUGGAGCAGAACUCACUGCUGCUCUCUCUGGUUCCUCUGGUCUGUACCUAUACAGAUGGACUCAAAUGAGGGACCAAACUAGCUUAUGAACAACUCAAUAAAACUCCCCAAGAAUCCCCUUACACUCACUCUCACAUCCAUGCAAAGCAUGCAAAGGAAAGCUGGACAGGACACUUUCGGCGGCAGGUUCGGCGGCCGAACUUCCACUUUCGGCUGCCGAACCCUUUCGGGGGCAAGUUUCGGAGGCCAAAAGGCACUCCAGAGAUGAAAGUCUCUAACCUUCGGCGGCACCUUCGGCGGCCGAACUUCCCUUCAGAGCCGAAAGUCCAAAAGCUCGGGGGCAAGCUUGGGCAGCCAAAGCCACCUCCUCACACCUCUUCAGGGGUUCGGCGGCCGAAUGUACCUUCGGCUGCCGAACCUGAGUUCAUCAGCAGGGCAGAAACUUGCCCUGCCUCUCGCCAAAUGCACAAAACUCACUCCACUUCACACACCUCAAUACUUCCACUUGCAUACACUCAUGUAUAUGCUCAAAGGGGUCAAACACUACCUAAAAACCCCAAACACACAACAAAAACAACACAGAAACAAGCUCUAUGCACAAAAUCAACAAAACCUCACACAUAACCCUAUUCAUGCAUCUCUCUCCAUAAACCCCAUAAAACCUUCAGAAAACAUAAACACAAGCUCAGGAUCUUCACUUACCUCUUGAAAUCAAGAAGAUGAACGAUCCUAACGUGGAGUUUUGGAGCAACUUUCCUUCAAACUCUCCAAACUUCACAACUUUGAGUUUUUAGCUUAAAACCUUCAAAAGAUCAUAAAAACUAAUCAAAUCUUUGCGUGAUUUAAUGAAAACAUGAAGAAAUACUCACAAAGGGCAGAGUUUCACCUCAGCAAGUGAAAGAAACGGUGCUCUACUGCUUCAAUCGACUGAGGGCCAUUUAUAGGUGGCUGGCCAGACCACCUUCGGCGGCCACACGUGAAACCGAAAGCCAUGCAUGUUUGGCGGCCAAACCUCAACUUCGGCGGCCGAACCUGGCUUUUCUGCCUUGGUUCAUUUCACUCAAAAACUCAUUUCCUUAUGCUUGAAAACUAUGAAACAUACCAAAACAUGUUAGAAAAACAUCACUCUAACCCUUUUAGAGACGUUCGACAUCCGAAACUCCAUCGAAAAGUAGAAUUCCGAUGCCGGACUCUAACCGGGUAUUACAUUCUCCCCCCCCUUAAGAACAUUCGUCCUCGAAUGGUCCUAAAACAAAUAAUUAACACAUAAAAAGGAGGAAACUAACCUCAAAACAAAUAUGGAUACUGCUGGAGCAUAGACUCCCGCGUCUCCCAGGUGCACUCUUCUAGAUUAUGGUGGUUCCACAGGACUUUCACCAUCGGAAUCUCCUUGUUCCUUAGCUGUCUGAUCUGUGUGUCCAGAAUCCGCACUGGCUGCUCUAUAUAGGUGAGAUCUGUAUGAACCUCCACCUCAGGCUAACUCAGAACCUGAUUCGGAUCUGACACAAACUGCCGUAGCAUAGAAACAUGAAAUACCGGGUGGAUUCUCUCCAUAGAAGCAGGUAAAUCCAGCUUAUACGACACAUUUCCGAUCCUCUGCAAAAUCUCAAAGGGUCCAAUGUAUCGUGGGGCUAACUUACCCUUCUUUCCAAAACGAACCACUCCUUUCAUUGGAGACACUUUUAGCAAUACCCAAUUACCCUCCUAGAAUUCUAACUGCUUUCUGCGAACGUCUGCAUAACUUUUCUGUCUGCUCUGCGCUGUUCUGAUUCUCUCUCUGAUCAUGGGCACCACUCUACUGGUAAUUUCUACUAACUCUGGCCCUGCAAGAGCCUUCUCUCCUAUCUCUUCCCAGCAAACAGGUGAUCUGCACUUCCUCCCAUACAAAGCUUCAUAAGGAGCCAUCCCUAUGCUAGCAUGAUGGCUGUUAUUGUAAGCAAACUCUACCAAAGGUAGAUGCUGCCUCCAAGAACCGCCAAAGUCUAACACACAUGGUCGAAGCAUAUCCUCUAUGGUCUGGAUGGUCCUCUCUGACUGUCCAUCAAUCUGUGGGUGGAAAGCAGUACUAAAAUCCAAUCGCGUGCCCAUCGCACUUUGCAGACUCCGCCAAAAGCGGGAGGUAAACUGAGGUCCUCUGUCUGAAACUAUAGACACUGGAACUCCAUGUAAUCUCACUAUCUCAUCCAGAUAAACCUGUGCCAACUUAUCCACAGAAUAGUUACUCCGUACUGGAAGAAAAUGAGCAGAUUUCGUGAGUCUGUCCACAAUCAUCCAUAUAGAGUCUAUCCUGUUGGACGUAGCUGGUAAACCCACUACAAAAUCCAUAGCUAUGUUUUCCCAUUUCCACUCUGGAAUCGGUAAUGGGUUAAGCAUUCCGGCUGGUUUCUGAUGCUCUAGUUUCACCCUCUGACAAACCUCACAGGCUGUCACAAACUGCGCCACUUCUUUCUUCAUGGCUGGCCACCAAUAAACCUUUUUCAGAUCCUGGUACAUCUUGGUGGCUCCUGGGUGAACACUAUACCUCGCAUUAUGAGCUUCCCUCAUAAUGUCUUCCUUCACACUGCUCCUAUCUGGUACACAAAGUCGACUCCCAUAACGAAGGAUCCCUUUGCUAUCAAAUCUGAACUCUGCACUGUUGCCUGACUGAACAGUCCUGGCAAUUUUCAUCAACUCAGGGUCCUCAUGCUGUCUCUGAGCGAUUUGCUCCAGAAACACAGGUGUCACUCUCAUCUGUGCUAUCAACGCACCUGUACCAGACAACUCUAACUGUAACCCCUCGUCUAAGAGCUUGUAAAGCUCCAUCACAACUGAUCUCCGCUCUGCUGCGAUAUGGGAUAAACUGCCUAGUGACUUCCGGCUUAGGGCGUCUGCCACAACAUUCGCCUUACCCGGAUGAUACUGGAUCUUACAAUCAUAAUCACUGAGCAAUUCGACCCAUCUUCUCUGCCUCAAAUUCAGCUCUCUCUGACUCAAGAUGUAUUGUAAACUCUUGUGAUCGGUGAAGAUCUCGCAUUUAACCCCGUAGAGGUAAUGCCGCCACAUCUUAAGUGCAAAGAUAACUGCUGCCAUCUCUAGGUCAUGGGUGGGGUAAUUCAACUCGUGCUUCUUCAACUGUCUAGAAGUAUAAGCUAUCACCCUAUCACUCUGCAUCAAAACACAACCCAAUCCCACUCGAGAUGCAUCACAGAACACUGUGAAAUCCUCAUUACUGACAGGCAGAGCUAAUACUGGUGCUGUAGUCAAUCUCCUCUUGAGCUCCUCAAAGCUCUCCUCACACUGGUCUGACCAGAUAAACUUUUGGUUCUUUUGAGUCAAUUUGGUCAUAGGAGCCGCUAUCUUUGAGAAGUUCUGAACGAACCUCCUGUAGUAACCUGCCAGUCCCAGAAAGCUUUUAAUCUCAGUCACUGUAGUGGGUCUGGGCCAGUUAGCUACAGCUUCUAUCUUCUUGGGAUCUACCUCAAUACCCUCUGCUGAUACCACAUGUCCCAAGAAGGAAAUGCUCCUCAACCAAAACUCACACUUCGAGAACUUGGCAUAUAAACCAUGCUCUCGCAGUGUCUGCAGAACUAUUCUCAGAUGCUGGGCAUGCUCCUCUGCAUCUCUGGAAUACACUAAAAUAUCAUCGAUGAAAACAAUGACAAAGUGAUCCAGAAAUUCACUAAAUACCCUGUUCAUGAGAUCCAUGAAUGCUGCAGGGGCGUUAGUCAACCAGAACGGCAUCACUAAGAACUCAUAAUGCCCAUAUCUGGUCUGGAAAGCGGUCUUUGAUACAUCUGCCUCUCUGACUCUCAACUGAUGAUAUUCGGAUCUCAGAUCUAUUUUAGAGAAACAACCUGCUCCAGCUAGCUGGUCAAAUAGAUCAUCAAUCCUAGGUAGAGGAUACCUAUUCUUGGUAGUGACCUUGUUCAACUGUCUAUAGUCGAUACAAAGUCUAAGGGAGCCAUCCUUCUUUCUAACAAAAAGCACUGGAGCACCCCAAGGUGAGGUACUGGGGCGGAUGAAACCUUUAUCUACCAAGUCCUGCAACUGUUCUUUCAACUCCUUUUACUCUGCUGGCGCCAUCCUGUAGGGAGGAAUAGAGAUAGGUCUGGUAUCAAGUAGCAAGUCUAUUUCAAACUCUAUCUCCCUACCAAGUGGUAGUCCUGGAAGUUCGUCUGGGAAAACAUCGAGAAACUCUCGGAUUACUGGUACUGUGGCUGGUUCCCUCACCUGACUGUCUAGCUCUCUCACAUGAGCUAGAAACCCCUGACAACCCCUCCUAAGCAAACGACGAGCCUGAAGGGCUGAAAUCAUACCUCUGGGUGUACCUCUUCUGUCUCCUCGGAAGACACACUCUGACCCAUCCUGGUCUCUGAGACUAACUAACUUCUCUCUACAGUCCAAAGUAGCACUAUAUGCAGAUAGCCAAUCCAUCCCUAGAAUGACAUCAAAAUCUGUCAAGUCUAGAACCACAAGGUCAGCUGGAAGACAUCUACCCUCUAUGAACACUGGACUGAACCGACAGACUGACACUGCCACUGAUGGGUCAAAUUUAGGUCCACUGACCCAGAGAGGAUACUCUAACUCAGAACUGAUCAAACCCAAUCUCUCUAUGGCUCUCGAAGCAAUAAAGGAAUGAGAAGCACCGGGGUCCAUCAAAGCAUACACAUCUGAACACCCAAUGAUGAGAUUACCUGACACCACUGUGUUCGACGUGUUAGCCUCCUCCUGUGUCACAGUGAAAAUCCGUGCUGGGGCUACCGGAUUUCCACCUCGGGAACCUGCUGCUGAAGUAGAGGCUGCCCCUCUCCCUCUACCUCUGCCACUACUCUGAGGCAUGACUGGAGCUACUGGCUGUACAACUGGCUGUACCACACUGCCUGAACUCAUCUGCUGGGAUGGUGCAAAAGUCAUCUGCGGACAAUCCCGAGCAAUAUGCCCUUCCUGUCCACAUCGAAAACAAGCUGUAGAUCCCAACCGACAAACUCCGCCAUGUGGUUUUUCGCAUCGUCUGCAUACUGGAGCUGUGCCAGAGCUUGAGCCACUACCUAUUCCCAGACCUGACUUGACUUUACUUCAGAACUUACUCUUUGUUCCUUUUGCUCUAUCCCAUCUCUUACUGUCUGAAGUGGGGGCUUUAGAACCCGAAGCCUAUGCCUUUGACUGUUUCUGAAUAUUGGCACUCGUUUCCAUUUUCCUGGCUGCGUCCACUAUAGUGUGGAAACUCUCCUUUUCUGCUGGAAGAAUCAAGGAAGAAUACCUGGGAUGCAGUCUCAUAGUAUAUCUCCUUGCCUUCUUCUGAUCAGUAUCAUAGGCUUGACCCACAUACUGAAGCAAAUCCAGGAACUUAUCUGUAAAUUCAUCAACACUCAUUUCAUCUGUCUGUCUCAACUGUUCAAACUCUAUUACUUUCAUCUCCCUAGAACUGUCAGGAAAAGCCCACCCUGCAAAUUCAUUGGCGAACUCUCCGCAAGACAUACUGUUCAUCCUGGGUUCCACAUAAUUCUUGAACCAUUCUCUGGCUUUCUUGCAUUUCAGUGUAAACCCUGCCAUCUCAAUGGCUCUACUAUCAUCAGCUCUCAAUUCACUAGUUAUCAUCCUAACUGAUCUGAGGUAGUCAAAUGGAUCAUCUCCCGUGUUAUACUUAGGAGCAUCCAAUUUCAAGUACUCCGUCAUUUGUACCUUACCUCCAGGUGAGCUAGGUUGAUGUCUGUCACCAACAGGGGCUACUGGUUCUGGUGGUGGUACUGGGUCAUUUGGUUCUGGGUGUGUUGCACUUGGAUGGGUAGGGGAAGGUGGAUACAUAGGAUAUGGUGGAUAGUAAGGAGGAUAAGGCAUAUAUGGCAUGUAAGGAGGAUAUGGGACAAAACUCGAAUACUCCGACAUACCUCCCAUCGGAUACUCUAGAUCCUGCAAAAAAGCUGGAUAGCCAAAACCUGAGGCCUGAGCGCCUCCCUGCGACUCUCCCAUACCUUCCUCAAAUCUGCCUAUACCCAUGCUAUCAUCUCUAGACUGAUCAAGCUCCAUAGCCUCCCUCCUUUCCUCUGAUCUUCCUCCCCUAGCUGUACCUCUUCUGCUCUCGUCUACAGACCUUCUAGGGUCUAUUGACGUACCUUCCCUGCUAGAUCUCUGAGACCUUGCCCUCGGCAAUGCAAGAGGAUGAGCAGCUGGUCUCUCACUCUCUGGUGGGACUCCAGUCAAUCGAGCUGAUCGACGAGUUCCUCUCAUCGUUACUCUCUGAAAAACAACACAUAACAUAGAACUUUAGCACAUAAACAUCACAUAUCAUGCAGAACUCAUGGCAUAUCAUCGCAAUAAACAGAUAGGACUCAAGACCCUAUCCUAGUGGACAUGAUUUCCUAUUGUGCUUGACCACUUCUAACCUGUAUGAGCCCAACACUGUCUCUAUAGGUCCGAUCAUGUGAACCUAGGGCUCUGAUACCAAUCUGUAACGACCCCAAAAUGGACCAUCACCGGCGCUAGGAUUCAAGUCGGCUUAAGGCCGCCAGAACCCGUAGCAAGCCUGCUAUACUCUCUGUGUACCUGUAACACUCAUACAUGAUCAUACAUUUUCUGUGAAAAUAAAAACUCUUUUCUAAACCAAGGCUUAACCUGUGCAUGCACUAUCUCUGUACUCUAUACUCUGUACCCCUGACUAGAGCUUGCUCUAGAUGGGUUAAUUCAUACCUGGUAAGCCUGGUUUUUCAUAUACAGCAAAACAUAUAUACAUAUACCGAUCAUGUACAACACAUACAUCACUAAAUCAAGCACAUGUCUAACUUUAUACACAACUAUUACAUCUCUGUAAUAUUACAUGUCCAUUCUAAGCUAUUACAAAUCUCUUUACUCUUUCUCUGAACUCCGCUGGACUGUCCCUGUACACUGUACACUGAACCUGCAAAACUGGGGUUAAGACUGAACCUGCAAAACUGGGGUUAAGGGAGUGGGAUGAGCUUUAUAGCCCAGUGAGUAGAAUAGUAAAACAUCUCAGUAAAAUAUGAUCUCAUGGAAUGCACCAUAUCACAGACAAACCACAUCAAGAGUAAACCUGUCACCAUAUAGUCCCAGUAACUCUGUGCCAGGGCGUAGAAUCGAGCACCUGGUCUUCCUGUCAUAUAUGUAUAUGUCUAUAUAACACCUCUGUACUUACCAUUGCCAGGGCGUAGUCAAAGGCUCCUGAACUUUACUAUAUACCUGCCAGGGCGUAGUCAAAGGCUCCUGGACUUCUCUAUACCUGCCAGGGCAUAGUCAAAGGCUCCUGGACUUCCUGUCUGAGACUAGUGGAUCAUUCAGCAUUUCCCCACAGCAUCAAAUAACGAUGCAAUGCAACAUAUUCAUGGAUACUAAUGCAAUCAACCUAUGGCAUAAUCAUGAUGCAUGAGAUAUGCUAAAACAUUCCAUUGUGCAAGUAAAAGAGUUAAGUUUAGUUCCACUCACCUCUGGACUGACUCUGCAGGCUCUGAACACUCUAGAGCAGAACUCACUGCUGCUCUCUCUGGUUCCUCUGGUCUGUACCUAUACAGAUGGACUCAAAUGAAGGACCAAACUAGCUUAUGAACAACUCUAUAAAACUCCCCAAGAAUCCCCUUACACUCACUCUCACAUCCAUGCAAAGCAUGCAAAGGAAAGCUGGACAGGACACUUUCGGCGGCAGGUUCGGCGGCCGAAAGUCCUCUCCAGAGACGAAACUCAAGCACCUUCGGCGGCCGAACUUCCACUUUCGGCUGCCGAACCCUUUCGGGGGCAAGUUUCGGAGGCCAAAAGGCACUCCAGAGACGAAAGUCUCUAACCUUCGGCGGCACCUUCGGCGGCCGAACUUCCCUUCAGAGCCGAAAGUCCAAAAGCUCGGGGGCAAGCUUGGGCAGCCAAAGCCACCUCCUCACACCUCUUCAGGGGUUCGGCGGCCGAAUGUACCUUCGGCUGCCGAACCUGAGUUCAUCAGCAGGGCAGAAACUUGCCCUGCCUCUCGCCAAAUGCACAAAACUCACUCCACUUCACACACCUCAAUACUUCCACUUGCAUACACUCAUGUAUAUGUUCAAAGGGGUCAAACACUACCUAAAAACCCCAAACACACAACAAAAACAACACAGAAACAAGCUCUAUGCACAAAAUCAACAAAACCUCACACAUAACCCUAUUCAUGCAUCUCUCUCCAUAAACCCCAUAAAACCUUCAGAAAACAUAAACACAAGCUCAGGAUCUUCACUUACCUCUUGAAAUCAAGAAGAUGAACGAUCCUAACGUGGAGUUUUGGAGCAACUUUCCUUCAAACUCUCCAAACUUCACAACUUUGAGUUUUUAGCUUAAAACCUUCAAAAGAUCAUAAAAACUAAUCAAAUCUUUGCGUGAUUUAAUGAAAACAUGAAGAAAUACUCACAAAGGGCAGAGUUUCACCUCAGCAAGUGAAAGAAACGGUGCUCUACCGCUUCAACCGACUGAGGGCCAUUUAUAGGUGGUUGGCCAGACCACCUUCGGCGGCCACACAUGAAACCGAAAGCCAUGCAUGUUCGGCGGCCGAACCUCAACUUCGGCGGCCGAACCUGGCUUUUCUGCCUUGGUUCAUUUCACUCAAAAACUCAUUUCCUUAUGCUUGAAAACUAUGAAACAUACCAAAACAUGUUAGAAAAACAUCACUCUAACCCUUCUAGAGACGUUCGACAUCCGAAACUCCAUCAGAAAGUAGAAUUCCGAUGCCGGACUCUAGCCGGGUAUUACAAAAUACUAGUAUAUUGGCAGUAGUAAGAGAUGCAAGAUUUCUAAAUUUCCAGGAUUCUCUGUUAGGAUCUGUUGAAACAAGUCUCAGCGAGUGACCCAUAUCCUUUGAAGUAUAUCCAGAUAUGACUAUCUCAUUAAAUGAUUUAAAUAUUUUAGAAAGUAUUGUUUUAGAAGUAAAAACUCAUAAUUAUAGGAUGAAACAAGGUUCCAUCCCGAUAGCAUUAAUAUAUAAAAUACAUUAUAAAGCUAUGAAUUCAGCAUUCGGAACUAAAUAUAAAUUACAACCUAAGCUAGGAGAGACAAGAUUUUUACAGACAGAUUUAACUAAAACUAAUACGGUAAUUCCUAAAACAAUUCAAUGGAAAGACAUAACCUUGCCAGACGAAUGGAUCUUAGAAGGAGUAGUACCUUCACCGAAACCAAAAAAGGUAAAACCAAAUACAAAUCUAAGUAAAAUUGAGCAGUUCGAGGAUGGUAAAGUAUCAUUAAAAUUUAAUAGAAGUGCAAGUACUAGGUAUACAGGAUCUUCAUCUUCAGAAGUAACAGAAGAUAUAGGUAGAGUCUCAAACCUACCCUCAGUUAUAUAUGCUACAUAUAAAGGAGAUGAACCUAAACCGGUAAUCCAGACCAUAGUAAAACCCAGGUGGUUUUCUACAUCAAAUAUCCCAGAUAGACAACUUAAAAUGAAAGGAGUAGAUUAUAGUUCUUCAGUUCCCCAGGCAGUAUAUAAUUCGGUAGAAAAUUAUCUAAAUCAGCAGGCUGAGACAUCCCCAUCAUCACCAUCAGUAUCAACCAUUAUAGAAAAUAUAAAUAAUAUAAAUAGGGAAUUGAAUGUUAUUAGUAAAGAAAAAAUUGAAAAGAAAUUUCUAAAAGAAAUAACAAAGACAAAAAAUCUAAGUAAAUUAAAUAAAAUAGUUUAAAGAUAUAAGUUUAAAGAUUUAAAGGAAGAAUAUCUUGAUUAUAAUAGUCAGAAUAAGAAGGAAAUAGGAUUUUUUGAAUGGUUUAAGUUAACUAAAAAGAAGGGUAUUUGAUAGAGCAUAAAUUAGUCCAUUUUAUAUUAAUAUUAUUGAUGAAUAUUUACAUGAUUUCUGCCUAAUUUAGUGCUUUUAAUAUUAUUUUGCAGAAAACGAUGUAAAAGGACUAUUUGGAGAAAAACCCCCAAAUUGCCUUAUUUGGAGCAAAAGAGAGAAAGCUGGUCAAGUUAGAUUCAAGCUAAAUGAGAGGAAAAUAUUUCUGAACAUUAAAUAUUCAAGCACUUGGACCCACGCACUUGGACGGCCCAAACUCACGCACAAGAGGACAUGGACGGCCCAUUCCGCCAAAGCCCGUGGCCCGCGCUCCACACAUUCACGCCCAAAUGGGUCAAGCACUUCACGUGCUCAACACUCACGCCUCAGCCCAUUCCCACACCACUCACGCAACGGGCCCACAUCCGCACAUCAACGCGCAAAUGGCCCAACCUUGCACCAUGCAACCUCCAGCGCACUACCGCACGUUCAUCCACAUGGCCCAACCUUCAACACGUGGACCAAGCUCCCGCGGACCCGCUUAUGGCCCGCUCUUUCUUUGCACAUGGGCCCGCACACUCAACUCACACCCACGGACAGCUCACCCACACCCCAACUCUCGCACAUGGGCCAUCUACACGCGCGGACAAGUUUCCAAUUUAGUGUGUUCCUCUGCACCUAUUUAAAGGCUCUUCAGCAGACAGAGAGAACAACUACAAUUCCUCUCAGCAAUUUCCGCAAGCCAGCUCCUUCGGUUCUUUCUUUUUCUUUUUUUUAUUUUAUUUUUUUAUUUUAUUUUUCUGUUUUUAAUUCAGCCAAUGAGUGGCUGAUUUCUUUCAUCUAGUUGGAUAUUGGUUGAAACUUUAAUUGUUUAAUGGGUUGUAAGACUUGAUCAAAUAUUAUUUAAUUUUUGGGAGUUCAAUAUUUAUGCAAUUUCUUACUUAAUUUUGUUAUUAAAAUAUACGUUGAUUUUUUAUUGCAAAAUAAUUAUUUGUUAGUUUGAAUAAUUUAAGUCCGUAAUUGCUUAGAUUAUUCUUAUAUGAGAACACUUGGGAUAAAACCCAAGAAAAUUGCAUGAUCUAGUGUUAUCUCCAUACGUUUGGGUAGCUAGGAUUGGAUCUCUCUAUUUCUUAAUGCAAUUGACAAUUGUUUUGAUGCCUAAGGUCCAAGGACGUUCCUUGGCAAUUUGUUAAUUAGUAAUUAAUUAGAGGACGUUCCCUAAUUGGUUUAAUCAUAAGGAGAGAUAAUGGUGGUGAGAAGCGUCUUCCAUCUCCAUAACUAAUCUAUUGAAUCAACCCAAAAGAACAAAAGUGUCUGUGAUCAAUCCCAACGACUAAAGUGGAUCCAAUACUUCAACUAGAGCUUUCUUAUUAUUUAUUUCUCUUUUAUGAAAGACCUUGCCAUAGACAUAGUGCAACAUGUUCAAGCAUCUCAGCUACCAACACCAUGUGGGAAUUAUGCAUACGUGGGAUAUCCAACUAAUCAAUGUUCUUCACGUUAUGAGUAUGACCAGCCUAGACAUACAUUUGGAGGAUACUAUGAACAGCUAAGGCAUGAUCCAUACUAUAACACAUACAGUCCAUAUUGGGAAGACCAACCGAACUAUGGCUAUGUUGAGGCUAACAACUACCAGGAUUAUCAAGAAUAUCAAGCCCGACCAGCACCUCCAAGUUCCAAUAUGCACCUUGAUGAAGAUAAGACGAGGACAUUGGCAGUUACUUUGCAAAGUAUGCAACAGCAGAUGGAUCAAAUGACCACCUCAUUAAAUGCGAUCAUGUUAAGAAGAGAGGAAUAGCUUCAAGAUGUAUGGGAUGAUGAUGAAAGUUGGCGAGUACAAGAACAAGCUGCUGAAGAGGCACAACCAGAAUACUGUUUGUCCAAACAAACUAGUCAAACAGAACCUGUUGUUGAUUUAGAUAUCAUUGAUUAUUUAAGCAAAGAUAUUUUUUAUACAAAUCAAGAUGAUAUACUAAACAAUGAUCCUUGCAGGGAAGAGAGCCAAAAAGAGCCAGAACUGAAAGAAACUAACUGUUACAUCCAACAGGUGGACUGCGAACACGCACAGAACAAAGGAGAGCCAAUCACACCUCUUCAGAUCAAUCUUGCGCAGUCAGAAGGAACUCCAACUGAACCACCUCAGCUUGGACCACAGGACAGUCCUGCAACUCUUCUAGUUGCACCUCUUCAGCUUCCAUCGCAUGAAACUCCUUUCAUUCUUCCAUUGCAGAUCAAUCUUGCGCAAGAAGGAGUACCUGAAAUCCUCUCAGGCGCGUCCUUUCAGCUUCCAACACAAAUCAGUCUUCCACCUCAGUUAGGUCCUAUGCAGAAUGAGGAAACUGAAACUCCUUUCAUCCUUCCAAUGCAAACAGUCCAUGCCCAGGAGGAACAAAUGGUAGUCCAAUGGCCCAAACCAAAGGAGCAUGCAGAUCAAUGCCUGCCCAAACCUCCAAAUAAGGUAGAAUUUGUUUUGCCUGAACUUAAUGCCAAAUUGCAGCCACCCAUGAAGAAAUAUCAAUUGAAGUUGGA